UUAAGAAAAUAAGUGCAAGCGGUGGAUGCCUUGGCAUUCAGAGGCGAUGAAGGACGUGAUAAUCUGCGAUAAGCUUCGGUUAGCUGGUAAAUGAGCUAUGACCCGGAGAUUUCCGAAUGGGGGAACC
rnacentral:rRNA from 1 species